AGAUUAAGUUAUUAAGGGCGCACGGUGGAUGCCUUGGCACUAGAAGCCGAUGAAGGACGUUACUAACGACGAUAUGCUUUGGGGAGCUGUAAGUAAGCUGUGAUCCAGAGAUUUCCGAAUGGGGGAACCCAAUACGAGUUAUGUCGUAUUAUCGAUACGUAAAUACAUAGCGUAUCGAAGGUAGACGCGGAGAACUGAAACAUCUUAGUACCCGCAGGAAGAGAAAGAAAAAUCGAUUCCCUGAGUAGCGGCGAGCGAAACGGGAAGAGCCCAAACCAACGAGCUUGCUUGUUGGGGUUGUAGGACACUCUAUACGGAGUUACAAAGGAAUAGAUUAGACGAAGCAUCUGGAAAGAUGCAUCAAAGAAGGUAAUAAUCCUGUAGUCGAAAAUCUGUUCUCUCUUGAGUGGAUCCUGAGUACGACGGAACACGAGAAAUUCCGUCGGAAUCCGGGAGGACCAUCUCCCAAGGCUAAAUACUCUCUAGUGACCGAUAGUGAACCAGUACCGUGAGGGAAAGGUGAAAAGUACCCCGGAAGGGGAGUGAAAGAGAACUUGAAACCGUGUGCUUACAAGUAGUCAGAGCCCGUUAAUGGGUGAUGGCGUGCCUUUUGUAGAAUGAACCGGCGAGUUACGAUUUGAUGCAAGGUUAAGCAGUGAAUGUGGAGCCGUAGCGAAAGCGAGUCUGAAUAGGGCGUUGAGUAUUUGGUCGUAGACCCGAAACCAGGUGAUCUACCCUUGACCAGGUUGAAGUUCAGGUAACACUGAAUGGAGGACCGAACCGACUUACGUUGAAAAGUGAGCGGAUGAGUUGAGGGUAGCGGAGAAAUUCCAAUCGAACCUGGAGAUAGCUGGUUCUCUCCGAAAUAGCUUUAGGGCUAGCCUCAAGUGAUGAUUAUUGGAGGUAGAGCACUGUUUGGACGAGGGGCCCUUCUCGGGUUACCGAAUUCAGACAAACUCCGAAUGCCAAUCAAUUUAACUUGGGAGUCAGAACGCGGGUGAUAAGGUCCGUGUUCGAAAGGGAAACAGCCCAGACCACCAGCUAAGGUCCCAAAAUAUAUGUUAAGUGGAAAAGGAUGUGGCGUUGCCCAGACAACUAGUAUGUUGGCUUAGAAGCAGCCAUCAUUUAAAGAGUGCGUAAUAGCUCACUAGUCGAGUGACACUGCGCCGAAAAUGUACCGGGGCUAAACAUAUUACCGAAGCUGUGGAUUGUCCGUAGGACAAUGGUAGGAGAGCGUUCUAAGGGCGUUGAAGCAUGAUCGCAAGGACAUGUGGAGCGCUUAGAAGUGAGAAUGCCGGUGUGAGUAGCGAAAGACGGGUGAGAAUCCCGUCCACCGAUUGACUAAGGUUUCCAGAGGAAGGCUCGUCCGCUCUGGGUUAGUCGGGUCCUAAGCUGAGGCCGAUAGGCGUAGGCGAUGGAUAACAGGUUGAUAUUCCUGUACCACCAUGAAUCGUUUUAAGCGA
rnacentral:rRNA from 1 species